rnacentral:lncRNA from 1 species
GUUCCAACCACGGGCUGCACCCACACCGGUGGAAGGGGGUCGGAUGGUGAAGGAGGGGAUGGCCGGGCCUAGAAUACCGAAAAAACUUUUUCGGAGAUGCCGGACCCAGGUCCUCCCGCGUGGUACGCCAACGCCCUACCACUCGGCCAAUGCUAUGGAUAUUGGUCCACAAAACUUAUUGCGUCAAAUUUCACAAAAUAUUGGCACGGAUCAACUUAUAUUUCCAAGACAAGAAAAUGCUAUACACUGACUAAUUGUUGGGUAGAAAAAAUAUUUAAAAAAAUAAAAUAAAAUAUACGUAUGAUAUAUUGUAUUUAGUUUUGAUAUAAUUUAAUUGAUAAUUAUCAUUCGAUAUAAGAAAAGUG